ensembl:lincRNA
GAUUCUAUAAACCUGGAGAGUAAUCCUAAGAAAAAUCAUCAGAAGAAAGGAAUUUGUAGAACUAAAACUGCAAACAUCCAGAAUCUUGAUGGUGUGCCAAGCCAAAUGUCAACUGGAACUCAACCAAAAACUAAAUUUCACAGGCUAGCCUGCGUAACCCUAUUUCAGCCAUAAAUUACCUGAUGUGUAAAAUUCACUGCCCUGUAGAACAUGUCUGAGGAACAUGUGUUCAUUUGUGAAUCUAGGCCUGACUGCCAAACAAGUGACUCUCAGUUCCUGACAAGUACUGAGGGCAUGGGCUCUCCCAGCUCGAGUCGUUCCCAUGGGGCUAGGACUGUGCGUUGGUUGGAGAUGAGACAGCCUUUACUGAUCACAUAUUUCCUCUGUCUUGAAUGGAUAGCAGCAUCGACUGUUGCAAUAAAUUCUCCACUCUGCAGACCUGGGCAGCCCACACCUGUGCCAGAAAUUAUGCACCAGAUGGCAAAUGAAAAUGACUGGAUAUCUAUGAGAAGAGGAUAUUUAGAGAAAAUACACAUUUACAAGUAAAGCAAGGUAUACAUUCAUUUUGCAGUGCUCUUAAAAACACAUUUGAACAAGUCGGCCUGCAAAUAUUUAUGGAGUGCCUUCUCUGUGUAGACCUUUAAGAAUUGCUAUUUUUGUGUUGAGUUGGCUCUAUGCAGGACUUGGAAAUAUUACGAAUACCUCAUCUCUUACAAAAAGAUGGGAGAAAUAAUGAUUUCCUAAUGUUUCAAGGUCUCUCCACUGUUGAUUUUCUGUGUUAUGAAGUUGGAACAGAGAUUAAGGGAUUAACCAUCAACGAUGCUUUCUGUGGCUUUUUAAGUUGGUCAUUGCUAAAAAAAUUUUGUAAUGGCACUUGUUAAAGCACUUCAAGAUAGGUAUAGGAAUCACAGUAAUGAGAUUUUGCAGUGGGGAAGAGAUGGGGUUCAACUCUAAAUGCAGCAUGGGCAAGUUGGAAUUUAUAGCCAAGGAGGAGGGUGGAGGCCAGUGGAUAAAAAAAAUUCCCAGCUGGGCACAGUGGCUCACACCUGUAAUCUCAGCACUUUGGGAGGCCGAGGUGGGUGGAUCACUUGAGGUCAGGAGUUCAAGACCAGCCUGACCAACAUGGUGAUGGGGUUCCAUCUUAAAAAAAAUGAAAAGGAAAGAAAAAAGAAGGAAGGAAGGAAGGAGAGAGAGAGAGAGAGAAAGAAAGAAAGAAAGAAAGAAAGAAAGAAAGAAAGAAAGAGAAAGAAGAAAGAAAGAAAGAAAGAAAGAAAGAAAGAAAGAAAGAAAGAAAGAAAUAAAUAAAUAAAUUACCAAGAGGAAAUAUCAUCAACAGGAGUGGGAGUCUGCCUAAACCCACCUGAGAGGAUUCUUGCUGAAGACAGGCCAGGGUAAUCAGACAUCAUCACCUGGGGGCUGGUGAUGCAUAAUGAACCUGAUCAGAUAUUGAGGGGCAUCAGGUAUGCAGGCUUGUUAAGCUGACUUAGCAGGGUUCUUGCUAAAGUGCUCAGAUGGGCCUAGGAGGUUUAGAUGUUUGGUCAAGCAGAGAAUCUUUGUCAUCAUGUGCCUUGACCUUAUAUGACUCAUGGAAGACAGGACCCAUUGGAAUAGCCUAGCUCAUGGGCAGGAGGCUCUGACCAGGUGGUAGAAAUAGAUUUGGUUCAUACACAAAUAGCAGGGUCCUACAGACUUUAAAUAUCCAGAAAAGUCUCCAUCAGGGUAUGCAAAGUGCAGAAGUGACUGUGAAUUCUGGCCAUAAAUAUCAGCGUCUUGAAGUUCAGGUUCUUUAGUGAUUACACAGCUGUUCCUGGAGAGUGAGUGUGACAGGUGAGUUAUCAAACUGUGCCACUUGCCUCUACUCAGCACUAUCAUCCUCCCCACCCUCCCCAAACAGCUGUCACCUCUUGGGAAAUUUCCUUCUCUACAAUUAAGACCGCAGGACCAUAAAUUGGUGCCCCACCUCCCCUCCCACAUUUGCAUAACAAAAAUGAGGUCUCCUGAAUCUUUUUAGUUUUCAAAUCAUUUUGCUGGAGAAAACUUGAGAGGCAGUUUGGCAUAGCUUUUUGAGCUGCACGAAUGUUAUCUUGGUGGAUUUCAGGAGUAGCCACAGGUAGGCGGCUUUCUAACCCUUCAUAUUGAAAUUAGAUUGCUGUCCUUACUGUUGAGGAAUACAAGCAGUGAGUCCAAAGUAGAAGGGCAAUUCGAUGGAUAAAUUUAUACUUUAACACUCUCAGAAGUAUCUUCAUUUUUAACAGAUCCUGUCUUGCCCAAGUAAAUCUGGGAUGGGGGGUAAUUUUGGCAGUGUAACAGUAAAAUGAAAGCAAACCAAGUAAUGCACAAGAAACUGUUUCAGAAAUGGGCACAACACAGGCUGACUAGCCCUGUCUAGAAGUCUGUGCUCCUGGAAGUUGUUUCUGCUUUUUCAGAGCCUUUUCCUGCCCCCAACUUCUAGUCUCACUGAUUCCCUAAAAGCUUCAAGAUUGUUGUUGUUGUUGUUGUUGUUUGUUUUUGCCAUUGUUUUUAAAUAAUGAGUCCCAGAAGCAGAUGUAGAGGAGGAGAAAGAGUGUGGCAGGGAGCAGCCAGUAGGUAGACAGGACACAGAGACAGGGCAGGCGGUUCUCAGUACAGUCUGGUUAUUGUGAGGCAGGUUUGUAUACAUCAUGGAUUGACAAUGGUUUGUUAUAAACAUGUCUCUGUAUGGAUUUAUUUGUCUUAAAAAUAUCAGAAGUGUAAAAAGAAUGGCAAAUCACAAUUGCAAGAGUAUGUCCAGCUGUUGAUGGCAAACGCUUGGAAAAUAUCCAGCCCCAUUGCUCCCUUGAGCUGGAUUGAUACUGCCUAUGAACUUCCUUCAAGACAAACACAAUCAGUUUGGCCAUCCCUUUUAAUUAACUCCACAUUAUCAGAGGAACCUUUAUGCACUCCCUUGAAUAUCAGGACUAAAUUUGUUUCACUCCAUGUAGAACUGUCUUACUGGAUGUAAUUUUCCAGAAAGUCAAUUCUGCCUUCAGGGCCAGUAGGAACAUCUGUGAAUAUUCUGCCCCUGUUCUGCCAACUUUGGUUUAAGUCUUCAGACAUCAUUUUAGGUAUAAGGAAAACCAUUUCUUAAAAUUUCUAAUGGAAUAACUUCAGGACCAGCAUACUUGCUAUAUGAGUAGCAUCAAAUUCUUACAUCUAUCCUCCAACAAAUGAGGGCCAAGGAACUCUUCUUUGGUUGAGGUAGAGGUAGGCAAAACGAAUUGGGUUUUAGCUGUUCAGCGGUGAUGUUAAUGCCCAUGGGACAAAAAAAGAGGGCAGGAUGAGCUUGAAUAGGGUGGGGGGAACAUUCUGAUAAAGACCUAUGAUGCAAAGUUGAAAGCUCAGCAUUGCCCAUCAAACUGAGCCCCAUAGGUAAUCUAAAAUAUUUUAGCAGCCACUUUAAAAAAAGUAAAAGGAACAGGUAUAAUUAAUUUUAAUAGUAUAUUUUAUUGAAACCAAUAUAUCCUAAAUCUUAUCAUUUUUGACAUGUGAUCAACACACAAAAAUUACUGACAUAUUACUUUUUUUUCUUCUCCCUACUUUUUUUUUCUGAGACAAGGUCUUGCUCUGUUGCCCAUGCUGGAGUACAGUGUUGCAAUCAUAGCUCACUACAACCUCGAACUGCUGGGCUCAAGUGAUCCUUGCUCCUCAUCCUUCCAAAGUGCUGGGAUUACAGGCAUGAGGCACCAUGCCUGGCCUGAUAUGUAACUUUCUUUGAGGGGUUCUAAGUCCUCAAAAUCUGGUUUGUAUUUUACACUUAUGGCACAUCUCAAUUUGGACUAGCCACAUCCCAAGAGCUCAGGAGGCAUUUGUGGGCCACGGACAGAGAAGCUCUAGGUGGUAACCCAAUAGGAAGGACUUUAUGAUGACCAAAGCCAUUUGUUAUUGUUUAACCAAUAAAAAGAUAAUCUUAUAGAAUCUAAGUCAGAGAGCAUUAAAAAGAAUAAUGAGAAAAAAUUAAGCAAAUUAACUUUGGAUAUGGAUUCCCAAGAAAUAGCCUGGCAAAGGAAGAUUUAUUUGACCAGUAGAGUUUACUGAAUAGGCUUCAGAUGCAUGUAAGGGGAUAUGUUUUUUUACUUUGAAUUAAAAUAUGAUGAUGGAAUUCAUUCAAAAAUGUUCUCAGUGUUCUUAAGGUAAGUAAGAAAAGCUGAAACUGAUAUGCUUAAUUAUUGCCCUGGGUUUCAGUAAUACUCCAAC